UACAGUCUGCUGGCAGUAAAAAGGAAGAUAAAAAGAAGAAAGGAAAGAAGGAUGAAAAAGGACGUCCACAAUCUGCAGUGGAGAAGAAACCUCAACAACAACAACAGAGAAAGAAGCCAGAACUUGUUGAUAUCAUUAUUAAAGAUGUUGAAAAUACAGCAAUUACAGAUGGUCCUACAAACAAUAAAGAGAUAGUAGAAGCUCAAGUCAAUGACGAUGAUGAGAAGUUAGAAGAUGACACACAAGCUACUGAUGAUGUGGAUAUAUCACGGAACAUUCCAGGAAAAGUGAAGGUCACAGCCCCAAACAUUAGCAAGGUGAAGAGGAAGUGAAUUAAAAAUCAGACAAUAAACCUAAUUGUGCAAUUGAAUAUUGUAAUGAUAAAUCAAUACUUACAUUUAAAAUGGAUUAUGAAACUAUGAUUUCUUUUCAAAUAAUUGUUGAAUAAAUACAUAAACAUUUCUUUUAUCAUGACAUGGUAUUUAGUACUUUUUCUAAAAAAUUACAUUUUGUAGAACUUUCAAAUGUAGGAACUAAACUGUGUGAAAAAGUAAAUAUUUAAUAGUCCAUUAACAGUUUUGUUAUAAUGUAAAUUUUAUAAUGCAAGUUAUUAAUCAGUAUUGUAAUUAUACCCAUGCAUUUUUAAGUUAAUGUCAUUUCAACUUUAUGAACAUUGUAUUGUAUGUGUAUAUGUAAUUAUUUUUUAUAUUUUUCCUUAAAGUUAAUAUAGUCAUGUUUAGUAUCAAAAUGAUCAUAUGUUUUUAUAGAGUUUUGUUAGGAACUUUAAUUACAGUAAAUUCCAAGUUUACUUCAAUAAGGAGCUUUUUCUUAAAAAUUGUUUUUAAACAUAUAAAAAUUUCCCAUACUAUAAAAACAACUUUAAGCAAAAAUGUUUAAUACAAUAUGGCAUUUUAAGUCUUCCUGCUUAAUAGUGGCACUGGUUAGUUACAAUUACUCUCAAAGGCUUAAGUCCAAGCCAAAUUGUUUAUUAUACAAAAAAGGAAGCCAGGGUGAUAACUUUUCACAAAUACAAAUAAUAAAAAGGUGAUUUGUUGUUAACUUAUGUUUGCAUAGUUAAUGGAAAUGGCUUCCUGUUAUUUUUCACAGCUUUCGGCACUUUUCUGUAUAAAAACUCGGUGGAUUUUUCUAUGGAUAUCAUUCACCAUCCAUCGUUUUAAAAAUAAAGUUGUGUUUAAAUUUAUAUUGGAUUUUGGAAUUUUAUAUUAAUUUUCAGGUAAAUUUAUUUUUAUGUUCUUUUAUUAUCAUUUUUUUAAAAACUUUAUUUUGUACAAGAUAUUGUACUCUUUGUAAUUAUGAUAUUUCAUUAAUUUCUUAACAUUAAUUAUUCUUAGCUUUAUUGUAUAUAACAUUGUUAUGUGUGUUUAUAAGUUAGUACUUAUAGUACAAAGUAGCAUUAUGCUGAUAAAACUUGUGUAGCUAUAAUAAGAAAUAUUCUAUCUACUUUCCUUGAUAUUUCUUAAGUAUAAAAAAAGAAUGUAACAAAAUAUAAAAUAUAAGAAUAGAGAAUUUAAAUCUAACAUGCAUUAUUUAUAUAUCAAUUAUUGUAACUAAAUCUGUUAUAUUACAUCAGGCUAAAUUUUUGUUACAAGAAUUAUUUUAUACUAUUUUCUUAAAAUCUAAAUUCUUAAUUUUUAUCUGCAAACAAUGUGUUUUUGAUUCAAUUAAUUAUUUUGUUCUUUGUGCAUAUUAAAUACAUUUUAAAUAAAUUAAUCUUGGUCAAUUAAACAAGAUAAUUCGGCUAAUUUCUAUAUUUUAAUUAAGUACCUAAUCGCUCGGGUUAAGUCAUCGACCAAGAUCUCGGUAAACCUUUUCACUGCCAAGCUAAUUACUAAAUUGUUACUUAUGUUGGUUAAAUUAAUUGUAUAAUUAUGUAUAUCAUUUUGCUUCUUCUCCUAUGUAAGAAUGCAAUGUAUACCAUCAAUGUUACAAUUUCAAUUAAAAAUUAGUUUACUUAAUUACAUACGUAUGCAAUUAUUUUAUAAUUUACCUAUGUUAUUAUAAAAUAUAUUGCUAUCAUCAUUCACCAUCCAUCGUUCUUAAAAUAAAGUUGUGUUUAAAUAUA